rnacentral:tRNA from 1 species
UGCUUGGGUAGCUCAGUUGGUAGAGCAGUUGCCCGCGGAAGGCAAAGGUCCCGAGUUCGAGUCUCGGUCCGGCAC